rnacentral:rRNA from 1 species
GUGAGGAAUAUUGGUCAAUGGAGGCAACUCUGAACCAGCCAAGUCGCGUGAAGGAUGAAGGUCUUAUGGAUUGUAAACUUCUUUUGCAAGGGAAUAAAGUGGGGGACGUGUCCUCCUUUGCAUGUACCUUGCGAAUAAGGAUCGGCUAACUCCGUGCCAGCAGCCGCGGUAAUACGGAGGAUCCGAGCGUUAUCCGGAUUUAUUGGGUUUAAAGGGUGCGCAGGCGGGAUGUUAAGUCGGCGGUGAAAUUUUGCAGCUCAACUGUAAAAGUGCCUUCGAUACUGGCUGUCUUGAGUGUGGAUGAAGUAGGCGGAAUUUGUGGUGUAGCGGUGAAAUGCUUAGAUAUCACGAGGAACUCCGAUUGCGCAGGCAGUUUACUAAACCACUACUGACGCUCAUGCACGAAGGCGUGGGGAUCAAACAGGAUUAGAAACCCUGGUAGUCC